UACAGAGGGUGCAAGCGUUAAUCGGAAUUACUGGGCGUAAAGCGUGCGUAGACGGUUACAUAAGUCGGGUGUGUAAGCCCCGGGCUCAACCUGGGAAUUGCAUUCGAGACUGCGUAGCUAGGGUGCGGAAGAGGGAAGCGGAAUUUCCGGUGUAGCGGUGAAAUGCGCAGAUAUGCGGAGGAACACCGAUGGCGAAGGCAAUCCCCUGGGCCUGUACUGACGCUCAUGCACGAAAGCGUGGGGAGCAAACAGG
rnacentral:rRNA from 1 species